UAGGAAUCUUCCACAAUGACGCAAGUCUGAUGGAGCAACGCCGCGUGAGUGAAGAAGGUUUUCGGACCGUAAAGCUCUGUUGUUGGUGAAGAAGGAUAGAGGUAGUAACUGGCCUUUUAUUUGACGGUAAUCAACCAGAAAGUCACGGCUAACUACGUGCCAGCAGCCGCGGUAAUACGUAGGUGGCAAGCGUUGUCCGGAUUUAUUGGGCGUAAAGCGAGCGCAGGCGGAAGAAUAAGUCUGAUGUGAAAGCCCUCGGCUUAACCGAGGAAUUGCAUCGGAAACUGUUUUCUUGAGUGCAGAAGAGGAGAGUAGAACUCCAUGUGUAGCGGUGGAAUGCGUAGAUAUAUGGAAGAAUACCAGUGGCGAAGGCGGCUCUCUGGUCUGCAACUGACGCUGAGGCUCGAAAGCAUGGGUAGCGAACAGGAUUAGAUACCCUGGUAGUCCAUGCCGUAAACGAUGAGUGCUAAGUGUUGGGAGGCUUCCGCCUCUCAGUGCUGCAGCUAACGCAUUAAGCACUCCGCCUGGGGGAGUACGACC
rnacentral:rRNA from 1 species